rnacentral:rRNA from 1 species
CCUACGGGAGGCAGCAGUGAGGAAUAUUGGUCAAUGGACGAGAGUCUGAACCAGCCAAGUAGCGUGAAGGAUGACUGUCCUAUGGGUUGUAAACUUCUUUUAUAGGGGAAUAACGAGUCCACGGUGUGGCGUUUUGUAUGUACCAUAUGAAAAAGCAUCGGCUAACUCCGUGCCAGCAGCCGCGGUAAUACGGAGGGUCCGGGCGUUAUCCGGAUUUAUUGGGUUUAAAGGGAGCGUAGGCGGAUUGUUAAGAGUGUUGUGAAAGGUUGCGGCUCAACCGUAACAUUGCAGUUGAAACUGGCAGUCUUGAGUACGGUAGAGGUGGGCGGAAUUCGUGGUGUAGCGGUGAAAUGCUUAGAUAUCACGAAGAACUCCGAUUGCGAAGGCAGCUCACUGGACUGCAACUGACGCUGAGGCUCGAAGGUGUGGGUAUCGAACAGGAUUAGAUACCCUAGUAGUC